CAGGUGUCGAACGGCACCGCCCCGCGUGAGGAGCUCACCUUAAUCCUGAGCUUGGUGCAGAACAGCGCGAUCCACAACUUGAAGUUCCUGAACAAAAAUCCUCCCUCAAGGUAGGGACGAGCAGCGCCGGCACAACGCCCUACCGCCUCACAAGCUGAUACGCCGCUAAGAUUUUUCUUCAGAUGUGAGCAAAGCUUGCCUUUGGAAAGAUGCCGUCAGAAGGGCAGCUCUGGCGGCUUUAGGGGCUGCUAAACAAACAGCUGUCACGACUAAUUAGGUCAGGGAAUUACGGAGAUUGUGCUCUGCCAAAGCUUUAAGAGGGAUGAGGCACUGCAGUACGACUUCAGAAAAUCUCAUUACCGAGCAAACGCGCCGCAGAAAGGUCCCCCCGGUGGAAGGCCGCGGGGGUCGCUCACGCCGCGCCUCUCCGACUCCGAGCCGCCACCUGGACAGGUGGGCGGGUCGCUGCCAUUAGUCGUGCGGAGGGGAUUCGAAACAACACCUGAAGAAAUUUGCAUCAGAACCGAAACGAACGGGGGGCCAUUAGAAACACUUCCACUCAAAAGGAAAGCCGACGUCCUUUCCGCGAGGCUCACGGCCCUCACGUCCCUCACGCCGCGGCCCCCCUAGGCGCGCUGCACGCGGGCGGGAAGCGCCUCACCGCGCCAUCACUGCACAGCGCGGCCUUACAGCGAGGUCAGCAACCGACAGAAAGCGGAGCUCUUCUCAGGCCGCCCUGCUGCCACGGGUGGGAAGGAAAGCUCUGGAAGGAACUCCCCUUCAGAGGGAGCGCCGCACACGGCUCCAGCAUAACCGUCACGCGGGCAUCGCCACGUGUAUUUAACACUAAAUGACACCAGCUUAACGGUGAAACUGAUCUACAGCAAGCAAACCGCUGCCGCUUCGGUCCGCUAGGAGAGACAGCACCGCUGCAGCUGAGCCUCCCCACAGGGGCACCCACACCAAACAGACUGUGCACAUUUGUCCCACUCACUAAGCUACACAAGAAACCAGAUGUGGCUCAAUAGCUGCUUCUGAACGGUGAAGCUCAGUUUUUUGAAGCAUCUGAGUGUCACAACAAGAAAGUCUGCAGAAUGUAUUGACAGCAGGGAGUGCCUUAACCUCUGAAACUUCUUCAAUAGUAGGGCUUCUGCCAACCUUUUCUGGACUUACAACUCCUGCAUUUCGUGAAUUUCUCUCAUUCAAAACACAGGGAGGAAGUAUUCGAUCUACAGAGACUGAACUCUAGCUGAAACAGAAAUACCUUGGAUAUCUGUGCUGCUGGAAGAUCUCUUCUCGCCAAUUCUUUGGGAACGAUGAUAGACUGGACUUCCCACAUCAUCUAGCAUCUGGGUUGGAAAGUCUCCUGAACACUGAGAUAAGUUACCAUGUGAUGUAUGGAUACUGUUGGCUG
rnacentral:lncRNA from 1 species